rnacentral:rRNA from 1 species
UACAGAGGUCCCGAGCGUUGUUCGGAUUCACUGGGCGUAAAGGGUGCGUAGGUGGCAUGGCAAGUUUGAUGUGAAAGCUCAGGGCUUAACCCUGAAAUGGCAUUGAAUACUGCUGUGCUGGAGGUUUGGAGGGGGGACUGGAAUUCUCGGUGUAGCAGUGAAAUGCGUAGAUAUCGAGAGGAACACCAGUGGCGGAGGCGAGUCCCUGGACAACACCUGACACUGAGGCACGAAAGCCGGGGGAGCAAACAGG